rnacentral:rRNA from 1 species
GACGAACGCUGGCGGCGUGGAUUAGGCAUGCAAGUCGAACGGUAGGAUACCUUCGGGUAUCUGAGAGUGGCGAACGGGUGAGUAACACGUAGGUGAUCUACCCUCAAGAUUGGGACAACCCAGGGAAACUUGGGCUAAUACCGGAUGAAAGCAGCAGUGAUGUUGUUUGAAAGGUGGCGUAAGCUGCCGUUUGGGGAUGAGCCUGCGCUCUAUUAGUUAGUUGGCGGGGUAAAGGCCCACCAAGGCGAUGAUAGAUAGGCGGCCUUAACGGGUGGUCGCCCACACUGGGAUUGAGAUACGGCCCAGACUCCUACGGGAGGCAGCAGUCGAGAAUAGUCUACAAUGGCCGAAAGGCUGAUAGUGCGACGCCGCGUGAACGAAGAAGCCCUUCGGGUGUAAAGUUCUUUUAUAUGUGAGCAGUGCUUUCUAUGUGAACAGCAUGGGGAGAGAGAUAUUAGCAUAUGAAUAAGCAAACGGCUAAACUCCGUGCCAGCAGCCC